GGAGGGUAUAGCUCAGUGGUAGAGUGCGUGCUUAGCAUGCAUGAGGUCCUGGGUUCAAUCCCCAGUACCUCCA
rnacentral:tRNA from 1 species